UCCAUACCAGCCCCCGCCUAUUAUGCACAUUUGGUAGCAUUUCGAGCCAGACGCCACAUGACCAACGGCGAAAAUGGAAGGAGGGGGGACACUGUAGAUUUGGAGAAAUCUGCAAGAGCCAUUCAAGUUCAUGACAGAAUGAAAGAAGCGAUGUAUUUUACGUAAACAAUUAACAUGAUAAUACUGUAUAUAUGUGCUCGAAAUGAAAAAAAAGAAAAGAAAAAGAUGAAAAAUACAUCGCUGACAAGUAGCAAUACCGCGUAAAUGUCUCCAUGAAUAACAACUGUUUAUGAGAAUAUGUAAUCCUGAUAUUCCAUUAGUUUUAAAUAUUUUUUCCUGACUUUUAGGUUGCAAGUGAUUUGAAAACGGUGAUGCAUUCUGCUACAUGUAGUUAGCAUUCCGGGGGGAACUCCCAUAUAAAAAGGACAGGGGUGGUCAUCGUACCUUUUAGGGCUUAAGAGUGAGGUUUUGGUACCUCUUAGGGUGUUCGGCCUGAAGUGAUCCACAGAGGGAGCUUUUACGGUGCCUUUUAAGCCCCCCCCCCCCCCCCC